GGUGGAGGAGCGGCGUCUGGCUGCUGCUGGCGGUGAGGAGGUGGAGCCAGCUGGGGAGGCGGAGCCACGUGCUGCUGCAGCUGGAGGGGGGCGGAGCUCCAGCCGUCUGCGUGUGUGGAGACAGAGAGCUGGACGGAGGAGACGGCGGUCGGUGCUCCCGCUGGCUGCGUUCGUCCCGUCUGUCCUCGGCGGUUCUGUCUUCGGUGUCGGACCUGCAGGAGGCGCUGUCUCCACCCGGCUCCGCCCACCUGAUGCCCGCUGCUCGCUCCGCCCUGUCCCGCCUCCUCCACCUCUUCGGCCAAUCAGAGGAGGCCGCCGCCGCAGACAGGACCCGGCUGGGAGACGAGCGGAGACAGGACCCCCAGUCUGAGACCAAGGUCCUGGUGUCAACCCUCCAGAAGCACUUCCUGCUUUUCAGCCAACGGCUGCACUCGGCCGAGGUGGAGAGGCGGAGCCUGAGACUGGAGCUGUCCAAUCAGAAGCGAGGACAGCAGCA